CGGAGGAAAAGAAACCAACAGGGAUUGCCUCAGUAACGGCGAGUGAAGCGGCAACAGCUCAAAUUUGAAAUCUGGCCCCCGGCCCGAGUUGUAAUUUGCAGAGGAUGUUUCUGGCGAGGUGCCUUCCGAGUUCCCUGGAACGGGACGCCAUAGAGGGUGAGAGCCCCGUACGGUUGGUCGCUAAGCCUCUGUGAAACUCCUUCGACGAGUCGAGUAGUUUGGGAAUGCUGCUCUAAAUGGGAGGUAUACGUCUUCUAAAGCUAAAUACCGGCUAGAGACCGAUAGCGCACAAGUAGAGUGAUCGAAAGAUGAAAAGCACUUUGAAAAGAGGGUUAAAUAGUACGUGAAAUUGUUGAAAGGGAAGCGCUUAUGACCAGACUUGGGCCGGUUGAUCAUCCAUCGUUCUCGGUGGUGCACUCUGCCGGCUCAGGCCAGCAUCAGUUUGGCUCGGGGGAUAAAGGCUCUGGGAAUGUGGCUCCCUCCGGGGAGUGUUAUAGCCCACUGCGUAAUACCCUGCGCUGGACUGAGGUACGCGCUCCGCAAGGAUGCUGGCGUAAUGGUCAUCAGCGACCCGUCUUGAAACACGGACCAAGGAGUCGUCUUCGUAUGCGAGUGUUCGGGUGUCAAACCCCUACGCGUAAUGAAAGUGAACGUAGGAGAGAGCUUCGGCGCAUCUCCGACCGAUCCUGAUGUUCUCGGAUGGAUUUGAGUAAGAGCAUACGGGGCCGGACCCGAAAGAAGGUGAACUAUGCCUGUAUAGGGUGAAGCCAGAGGAAACUCUGGUGGAGGCUCGCAGCGGUUCUGACGUGCAAAUCGAUCGUCAAAUAUGGGCAUGGGGGCGAAAGACUAAUCGAAC
rnacentral:rRNA from 1 species